GAUGCCAAUUGCUGGUGCUGCCCUUGUUACUAGAUUGCCAGCUUGAGAGUUAGCUUUCAUUAUUACAGGUGGAGUGUCUCUCCUUCUAGAAGCAUCAAUAAUCUCAUCACUAAAAAGCUGUUCACCUCUUAAAAGAUCAGCUAUCCUCGUGGGUGUUACAUUCUGAAUUUCGCCAAAAUUUCUAGGUGGUUCUAGGUGGUCAUAGCCUGCUAUAACUUUUUAAAAUUUAAUCUGGGGAUCUAACCCUUGAUCCUCCAAUAGGCUGAUAUUAUUCAAAUUUCCCCAAUGAGUCCACCUUACGCAUAUCAUCUGCAAUUUCUUUAGGAAGAAUUUUCCUUGAAACUUUGCUUCCACCGUGUGCAGGCCCAUGUGGCAGCAGGUAAGAACUCAAAGGAAUUGGAGAGUGAAUGACUUUCCCAACCUUUCUGUGUGAGUCUACUUUCCCUUGCCCUUCUGAAUUUUCUUAGAUAACCCUCUGUGUAUCAGCGUCAAUCAAAUAUCAUUUAGGGCAAUUUGGGAUACUGCACUUAUGUCCAUGCACCAGUGUUAGUGAACAAAAUGAUACAUAAAAGGAAUCCAAAAUAUGUAGAACAUAAUAUGUCACCAUUAACUCCAUUAAGGACAAGACUUUGCAUCAUGCUAUCUCCUUUAUUCCUGGAAAGUAUCAUUCAACCAAAUACAAAUACUGCUCAAAACAACACAUUAUGCCACCGAAACAUCACAAACGAUGAAUUCACAGAAUGCCAAAACGAAAAGUUUAGCAACUAUUUUAAGAUAUAAGGAAUCUAGCUAAAAGUACAACUACCAGGCUCAAGAAUUAUAAAAAUAAAUAAAUAAAGAGAGAGAGAGAGAGAGAGGAAAAAGAAUAAGAUUCGAAGUUAUAUCCCCCUUUUACUCAAUUUCGCAUCAACCAAGAAAAGAAUAAAACCAUCUCCUCUUUUCCCCUGCUUUUUGUUUCUUGAUACACAAUUACAUAAUCCACAAAAUAUUUAAAUGUUUAAGAAUUCAACUUAAACAAGAAACAUAAUGAAAAUACCAAUCACUAAUUUCCCAAACAUAGUCUGAAAACACCCUAAACAAAUAUCAAACUCAACAAAAGAAAUUGCAUAGAAGCAAAGAAACACACCUUAUGUUGGGUUGGGGGAAAACAUGGUGAAGGGCAUGUGAAGAAAAGAUCUCACAUACCUAACGCCAAGCUGAUUUAUAUACUAACUAUCUAACUACUCUUGGGCUACCCAAAAGCUUAAAAGCUUAAGUGUAUACAUUCCCAUGUACUAUUUCGAAUGGGAACAAUCAGAAAAAAAGUAAUAUAGAAUUUUCUUUAAUGGUUUAAGCACCACUGCUCCCAAAUCCCUCUCCUCUAGGCCUCUUACCUCCCUUUGUCACCGCCUGCAAACCAUUGAAAAAUCAUAAAUUCAUGAAAAAGAAAAAGGUUUAGUCAAUUAUACAACUAACGAAAUGGGUAAUCCAAUAAAAGAAAAAUUCCCAAUUUUAAUCUCUGUCAUUGUGAGAGAGAAAAGGGCAACUGAACAGUGCCGCCCAGAGUGAUGGUGACCUCGGGGCUGGACGUUCUACUGAGGGGGAUUAAAAAAAAUGUCAAAUGAAAGAGCAAAUUAACUAAAUUUCAUCCAACAAUGGACAUUGAAAAGUAGAAUCGAAGUCGAUUCAGUGCUACAUUCUAAAAAGAGAAGGGAAAGAAUGAGAAGAAAUAGAGAAGAUGACGCAGAAAAGGAAGAAAGGAACAGACUGUAAGCUAGAAAGAGCACUCGGCAGUGGUUUUUUUGGCUCCGUUGUUGCUUUGGGUUCGUCAGGCCAC
rnacentral:misc_RNA from 1 species